UUGUGUUCCAGAAAUGGUGCUAUGUCCUGGGCAUUCAGAGAUAAAUAUCACCCACUUGAUACACAUCAGCCUAUGGAGGAAAAUAGUGGACUCCAACAGGAACUAAAUGAAGGAAGUAGAAUGAUCUUUUAAGACACAUUCCUUUAAUCUACUUUUUAUGCUGACUUAGAAAUGAGAAAGAAUGGUUCACUUACUGGCAGUUAAUCAUGUUCAGUCAACUUGUAUUAGUUGGUAGCCCUUUGGUGUUUGGCUGACCAUGCAUGAGUUAUUAUUACUGAUGGGAGAGCAGGACAUUGCAGGCUACUCAGUCACAUAGGAUGGGUGUGAGCCCCUGUCUCAUCCUUACUUAAAUCUGUGACUUCAGGCAAGAGAUGAGGACCCCAGUGCUGCACAGCUCCAUCACAACAGCAGGAUAAUUACCAUAUGUCCCUACUGAAAUGUGAAGAUGAACAAAACAACAUGUAUAAAUCACUUAGGAAACUGCCUGAAGUAUUAUUACUGAACAUGUGCUAUGGGUUUGCAAUUACAAAUUCCAUGUAAUGUUAUAAGUAGAAAAAAAAAUAAGUUCCUGGAUCAUAGGUAAGCAGAAUAUUUUGAUAAAGCUAGGACAACCCAUUUGAAAUACCAAAUUAGGUAUAAGAAUCCAGCAUCUGGUGACAUUGUACUAACCCAUAGGAAGACUACCAGGUUAUCAGCAAUGAGAAAAAUGAGCAGACUGUGGCAAUGUCUUAAUUAUAAACUUUCAACUCAUGGGAAUAUUUUUCCUACACUUGAAAUCAUGCCCAUUGGUAAGGUCCUUUAAAUAAUCUUGUUCAAUAUGCACAGGGAUCUUGUAUAAUUUAAAUGACUUCCCCAUUUUUCAGGUAAAUGUACUAAGGUCCUAAUAUAGUUUAAGUGAAUUUCUCAUAGUUGUACAGCUAGAAUUUUAUGAAUUUGAAUGCAUGACUUUUGACUCUGAAGCCUGGCAGUUAACCACUUAUCUCCUGUGGGGAGGUUGAGCAUGGUUCAUAUGAAUUUCCAUAAGUCAAGACAGAAGGAGCAGCCAUCUCAUCACUGGAGCAAAGCCUCCAAGAGCUGGGCUAUGGGAAUAAUUAUCCCAACACCACUGCCACCUUCCUCAUGCCUUCAGAGACUCACAGCUAAAAUGCUAUGAGAGAUCGAUCCCUUUGUUUGAGUUUGAAGUUUGCAGCAUCAAAGCACUUUAACAAACUACACAUCUGUCCUCCUGUUGUCUUCAGCUGAUUGAAGGUCCUGGCAUGCUUUAUGCCUUUAAAGUGAAGUGUGCAACAAGACCUGGGGUGCUCUAAAAGAGGAAAUAUGAAGAAAUACCAAAAUGAAAUAAAAUUGGAAGAGUAGAUCAUUGAAAGCUUGGCUGAAGAGCUUUAAAGGAAGAGACAAUGUGUGCCUAGAGUUUUGAGCUUGUAACUGCCCGCCAUCACGACAGAGGUCCCUAAAAUCUGUCCAUCAACAGCAAAGCAAGUGCCUCUUGCCCUCCCAACCCCUUGAAUCUUUUAGCAGUUACAAGAAUUUUGUGUCGGGAACCUUUUUGUGACUAGGUACAUCUAUUCUGAAUUCCCUGAGUGCUUCGUCUCCAAGGAUGUGUUCUAUCAUCCCAAAUCAUAACAAAUCACCCUGAAUUCAUUGCCGCAUUUUCUUCCUCCGUUGUUCUAGUUUAGUGCAGAGCUCAGGUCUGGGUGUGCAGUCUUUAGAGAGUGAGCAGAGACCCUUGCCAGGUCUCCUUCUUCAUCUCUGCCCUAAUCUGGGGAAAUUAUAUAAAUUUGGGGGAGAGUAAUGACAUAGUAAGUGGACACUAUUAAAUGCUAGAGACUCUCUUAGGCAUUUCAUUAUAUCAUUGGUUUAAUGAUCAAAUGAACCUACAAGUAAUUAUCGUCUCUCCCACUACAGAAGUAAAGAAAGUAAAGUUCAAUGAGGAAAGACAUUUUUUCUAAUUCAUAUAGCUACAAAGAGGUAAAUCUGGUAUUGAGACCUGGUUCUGUCUCAUUCGCUAAAUGAUACUGUCACAUAAAACUUGAGUGAUCAUAGAGAUUACCAUUUAUAAAGCACUAUCAAGUACCAGGCAUAAUGUAAAGAGCUUGACACACAUUUUCACUAAGCCUUACUGUAAAACCAAGGUAGGCACAGGCAAACUAAAUGACUUGCCCAAGGCCACGCAGCUGAAAUGUGCAGAAAUGAGGUCGAAUACUGAUCUGUAUCAUCUCUGCUCCUUUCAUUGCACUAAACCUUCUACACCAGUAAGAGGCCCCAGUUUUCUGUGAGACAAAAUGGUCACUGAGUCUCUUCACCUCUCAAGAAG